CUCUUUUGAAUCUCCUGUCUCUCUCGCCCUCUCCACUGUCGGCUCCCGAAUACUGAUGGUCCUCCGGGUUCUUUGGAAAACUCUAUUCACCCUGCAACAGUCCAUUCUAACUGGGAGAUGGAACCACACCAGUUACUUCAACUGAGAGAUUUUACCAUUGAAGAAUUGUUAACUUGGUAAAACAUUCACCAGGCGACCGAGAAGGUGAAAGAACUCUCAGAUCAGGUCAAAAUGUGAGCUCUCCCAGCCAUGCCUUUCCUCCGCCAUCACGGACGCCAGCCCUCUGACACGGAAAAACAUACAGAAGCGGAUUUCUCCGCAUGUAGGAGGCUCAAUGUGGAAUCAAAAAACAAAAAUGGAGAGUGUAAGCAGCCAGUUUGCUAAUGAAUGUCACCAAGGGUUGAGUCCUGAAGAGCAGGCUUGUCACUAAGAAGGUCUUCAAAUGAGAUGUCCAAACCAAUAGAUGUGCAAACCAGAAGAUGAACACAAGAGAUGUGAAUGUGCAAGGCCACCUGACUCCUCUAAUUCCUUGGUGACAGAAUCCAAAGAUACUGACAUGGGUAAAAUGAUGGAAAAAGAAUCCAGAAGUUUACUUGCAAAAAUUUAUCAAUGACUUCAAAGAAAAUACACAAAAGCAGAUGAAUGAAAUAAAAAAAAAAUCAAUUCAAGACUUGUAGAAUAAAGGCGGAAAAAGAUGAGAAAGUCAGGCUUAUGGGUGGAAAUUAAGCAAUGAUUAAUUGAGAUUUUGUGGGGGGGGGCAGCAAAUGGAUAUGCUGGAAAUGAAAAACUCAAUGAAUCAAGAAAAACAGUAGAAUGUAUAAUCAAUGGACUGGGCCAUAGGAAAGAAAGAAAUCAAUGGUGGAAGACAAAAUUGAGAAACUACCACAUCAAGGCAUCAGAAGUGGGGGAUGGAGCAGGCAACCUCAACUUCGAAGAAUUCUAGGAUUUUAGCAAGACACAAAACCCAAGAAUCCAUGAAGUAGAGGGAACUGAUCAAACAAACAACAACAACAAACUAAAGAUAUAGGAAAUCUAUUUGAUGAAAUUAUAGGGAAAAUAUGAUCAAAACAUUUAUAGAACUAUUAAAAACUAAUAAAUAUAUUACUUGAAAACAGAUUUAGAGAAAAUAUUUUAAACUGAAGUCAACAACACACUAAAGAGCUCAUACAUGAUCAAGUUGGUUUUAUUCUAGGGAUGCAGAUGAUUCAACCUACACAUACCAAAAACUGUAAUAGAACACAUAAGAAGACUUAAGGACAGAAAUUUCAUGGUCACCUCAAUGGAUGCAGAAAAACCUUUGUCAGUAUUCAGCAUCCCCUGAGUCUGGGGAAGGAGCCACAAGUGCCAUGUUGGGCCAUGAAGGUGGCAAAAAGAAGCUGUUGAAAUGGCCCAAGAAGCAGGCCAAGGAGAUGGGAGAGGAAGACAAACAGGAACAGAAGGAGGGGACCGGCCAUAGCUGGAAUAAAGAAACCUGGCUAAAGGUUCCAGGACUCUGCUGGAACAGGACUCUGGAGGAGGAGGACGUGAGCACCCUUGCCUAGCCCAGGAGCUAUCUCCAACUGGCAACCAAUUGCAAAGGAAAAAUUAGUUUCCUCCGAUGGAGUCUCGCUGGGUAUUUAAAGCACGCUUUAGGGCGGGUCCCACAUGCAGCAGUAGAUGGCCAGUGCAAAAUGAAGUCAACGCUAAAGAAGAAGAAAGCAAGCAACAACAGAUGCUGGCAAAGAGGUGAGGAAAGAGGAACGAUUAUACACUGUUGGUGGUAAUGAAAACUAGCUCAGCUACUCAGUAUGGAUAAAUAUAAAAAAGAGAACAACUAUGUGACUCAGCUAUCACACUCCUGGGAGUUUACCCGAAGGAAUGUAAGUUGGCAUCCUAAAGAGGAACUUGCACAUCCAUGUUCUAAUAUUACAUCAUUAUUCACAAGAGCCAAGAUAUGGAAUCAGUGGAGAUGCCCAUCAGUAGGUUAAUGGAUAAGGAAAAUGUGGUACCUCUGCACAAUGGAGUUUUUUUUUCAGUUACACAGAAGGAAAAUUAUUUGCAGUAAAAAAUGGAGGAAGCUGGAGGUCAUGUUAAGGGAGAUCAGACAGACUCAAAACAGCAUGUCCAUGACACAGAUGUAGAAAGAGCACCAUUUGUGGGGGAGGGGAGGUACUAAGGGAGUAUGGAGAAGGCACAAGAGGACUACGUGGAGUGGCCAAAAUAAUUUCUCCAAUAUCUGGC